GCCCAGACUCCUACGGGAGGCAGCAGUGAGGAAUAUUGGUCAAUGGGCGUAAGCCUGAACCAGCCAAGUCGCGUGAGGGAUGAAGGAUCUAUGGUUCGUAAACCUCUUUUAUAAGGGAAUAAAGUGCGGGACGCGUCCCGCUUCGCAUGUACCUUAUGAAUAAGGAUCGGCUAACUCCGUGCCAGCAGCCGCGGUAAUACGGAGGAUCCGAGCGUUAUCCGGAUUUAUUGGGUUUAAAGGGUGCGUAGGCGGCCUUUUAAGUCAGCGGUGAAAGUCUGUGGCUCAACCAUAGAAUUGCCGUUGAAACUGGGGGGCUUGAGUAUGUUUGAGGCAGGCGGAAUGCGUGGUGUAGCGGUGAAAUGCUUAGAUAUUGCGCAGAACGCCGAUUGCGAAGGCAGCAUACCGGCGGCGAUCUGACGCUGAGGCACGAAAGCGUGGGUAUCGAACAGGAUUAGAUACCCUGGUAACA
rnacentral:rRNA from 1 species